rnacentral:pre_miRNA from 1 species
AAUGUACUCCCUCCGUCCGAAAAUACUUGUCAUCAAAAUGGAUAAAAAUGGAUGUAUCUAGAACUAAAAUACAUCUAGAUACAUCUCCUUUUAUCCAUUUUAAUGACAAGUAUUUUCGGACGGAGGGAGUACUGG